AUCUUUUUAAAGGAGACUCGACUCACAUUCGUUCGCUGAGUAAAUUCAACUAUCCAAAUUGAAGAUUUGGAGUUUCAUUUACGUCGACGAGGUUGGGGAGUAUCGAAACUUCGGCGGGUGCCCCACGGUAUCGCACUACCGUAAACGACUGGUAAAACUGUGAAGUGAUUCACAGGACAAAUUCAGUCUGGUGUUAAA
rnacentral:ncRNA from 1 species